GACGAACGCUGGCGGCGUGCCUAAUACAUGCAAGUCGAACGCAGUGGGGUCGGGUGAGUAACCCGUUGGUAACCUUCCCUCAGAGGGGAUAACACUUGGCAACAGGUGCUAAACCGAUACUGAUGGAUGGACCCGCGGUGCAUUAGCUAGUUGGUGAGGUAACGGCUCACCAAGGCCACGAUGCAUAGCUGGUCUGAGAGGGUGAUCGGCCACACUGGGACUGAGACACGGCCCAGACUCCUACGGGAGGCAGCAGUAGGGAAUCUUCGGCAAUGGGGGAAAGCCUGACCGAGCAACGCCGCGUGAGUGAAGAAGGUUUUCGGAUCGUAAAGCUCUGUUGUUAGAGAAGCGGUAUCUAACCAGAAAGCCACGGCUAACUACGUGCCAGCCGCCGCGGUAAUUC
rnacentral:rRNA from 1 species